CCUGACUCGGAUCAGUCGUGAUACCCGCUGAACUUAAGCAUAUCAAUAAGCGGAGGA
rnacentral:rRNA from 1 species